rnacentral:rRNA from 1 species
GUCGAGGGGCAGCAUUGGAGUAGCAAUACUUCAGAUGGCGACCGGCGCACGGGUGAGUAACACGUAUCCAACCAGCCGCUUACUCGGGGAUAGCCUUUCGAAAGAAAGAUUAAUACCCGAUGGUAUAAAGAGUUCGCAUGUUCUCUUUAUUAAAGAAUUUCGGUAAGCGAUGGGGAUGCGUUCCAUUAGAUAGUUGGCGGGGUAACGGCCCACCAAGUCUACGAUGGAUAGGGGUUCUGAGAGGAAGGUCCCCCACAUUGGAACUGAGACACGGUCCAAACUCCUACGGGAGGCAGCAGUGAGGAAUAUUGGUCAAUGGACGAGAGUCUGAACCAGCCAAGUAGCGUGAAGGAUGACUGCCCUAUGGGUUGUAAACUUCUUUUAUAAGGGAAUAAAGUGAGGGACGUGUCCCUUUUUGUAUGUACCUUAUGAAUAAGGAUCGGCUAACUCCGUGCCAGCAGCCGCGGUAAUACGGAGGAUCCGAGCGUUAUCCGGAUUUAUUGGGUUUAAAGGGAGCGUAGGUUGACAUAUAAGUCAGCUGUGAAAGUUUACGGCUCAACCGUGAAAUUGCAGUUGAUACUGUAUGUCUUGAGUGUACAAGAGGUGGGCGGAAUUCGUGGUGUAGCGGUGAAAUGCUUAGAUAUCACGAAGAACUCCAAUUGCGAAGGCAGCUCACUGGGGUACAACUGACACUGAGGCUCGAAAGUGUGGGUAUCAAACAGGAUUAGAUACCCUGGUAGUCCACACAGUAAACGAUGAAUACUCGCUGUUUGCGAUAUAC